rnacentral:rRNA from 1 species
GACGAACGCUGGCGGCGUGCCUAAUACAUGCAAGUAGAACGCACAGUUUAUACCGUAGCUUGCUACACCAUAAACUGUGAGUUGCGAACGGGUGAGUAACGCGUAGGUAACCUGCCUGGUAGCGGGGGAUAACUAUUGGAAACGAUAGCUAAUACCGCAUAAUACUGAUUAUUGCAUGAUAAUUGAUUGAAAGAUGCUAUUGCAUCACUACCAGAUGGACCUGCGUUGUAUUAGCUAGUAGGUGAGGUAACGGCUCACCUAGGCGACGAUACAUAGCCGACCUGGGAGGGUGAUCGGCCACACUGGGACUGGGACACGGCCCAGACUCCUACGGGAGGCAGCAGUAGGGAAUCUUCGGCAAUGGACGAAAGUCUGAACGAGCAACGCCGCGGGAGUGAAGAAGGUUGUCGGAUCGUAAAGCUCUGUUGUAAGGGAAGAACGGGUGUGAGAGUGGAAAGUUCACACUGUGACGGUAUCUUACCAGAAAGGGACGGCUAACUACGUG